rnacentral:rRNA from 1 species
AUUGAACGCUGGCGGCAGGCUUAACACAUGCAAGUCGAGCGGGGGAAGGUAGCUUGCUACUGGACCUAGCGGCGGACGGGUGAGUAAUGCUUAGGAAUCUGCCUAUUAGUGGGGGACGACAUCUCGAAAGGGAUGCUAAUACCGCAUACGUCCUACGGGAGAAAGCAGGGGAUCUUCGGACCUUGCGCUAAUAGAUGAGCCUAAGUCGGAUGAGCUAGUUGGUGGGGUAAAGGCCUACCAAGGCGACGAUCUGUAGCGGGUCUGAGAGGAUGAUCCGCCCAGCUGGGACUGCGACCCGGCCCAGACUCCAACGGGAGGCAGGAGCGGGGAAUAUUGGACACUGGGGGGAACCCUGAUCCAGCCGUGCCGCGUGUGUGAAGAAGGCCUUAUGGUUGUAAAGCACUUUAAGCGAGGAGGAGGCUACUUUAGUUAAUACCUAGAGAUAGUGGACGUUACUCGCAGAAUAAGCACCGGCUAACUCUGUGCAAGCAGCCGCCGUAA